AGUGAACGCUGGCGGUAGGCCUAACACAUGCAAGUCGAACGGCAGCACAGUAAGAGCUUGCUCUUACGGGUGGCGAGUGGCGGACGGGUGAGGAAUACAUCGGAAUCUACUUUUUCGUGGGUGAUAACGUAGGGAAACUUACGCUAAUACCGCAUACGACCUACGGGUGAAAGCAGGGGAUCUUCGGACCUUGCGCGAUUGUAUGAGCCGAUGUCGGAUUAGCUAGUUGGCGGGGUAAAGGCCCACCAAGGCGACGAUCCGUAGCUGGUCUGAGAGGAUGAUCAGCCACACGGGAACUGAGACACGGUCCAGACUCCUACGGGAGGCAGCAGUGGGGAAUAUUGGACAAUGGGGGCAAGCCUGAUCCAGCCAUACCGCGUGGGUGAAGAAGGCCUUCGGGUUGUAGAGCCCUUUUGUUGGGAAAGAAAAGCAGCAGGUUAAUACCCCGCUGUUCUGACGGUACCCAAAGAAUAAGCACCGGCUAACUUCGUG
rnacentral:rRNA from 1 species